UACGUAGGGUGCGAGCGUGUCCGGAUUUAUUGGGCGUAAAGAGCUCGUAGGCGGCUUGUCGCGUCGGAUGUGAAAGCCCGGGGCUUAACUCCGGGUCUGCAUUCGAUACGGGCAGGCUAGAGUGUGGUAGGGGAGAUCGGAAUUCCUGGUGUAGCGGUGAAAUGCGCAGAUAUCAGGAGGAACACCGGUGGCGAAGGCGGAUCUCUGGGCCAUUACUGACGCUGAGGAGCGAAAGCGUGGGGAGCAAACAGG
rnacentral:rRNA from 1 species